ensembl:snoRNA
AUGCAUCUGUUGGACAGGCCUGGAGCAGUUACUGUCUGCUACUCGGGUUUCCACCACAGAUGCAAGAAGAAAGCAUCCUCGUGCUGUCUGGUUGUGGCAGCCCAGAUUGAAUGGAGGAAUACAGGC